ensembl:rRNA 5S_rRNA 5S ribosomal RNA
UGCUUCGGCCAUACCACCCUGAACGCGCCUGAUCUCGUCUGAUCUCGGAAGCUAAGCAGGGUUGGGCUUGGUUAGGACUUGGAUGGGAGACCACCUGGGAAUACCAGGUGCUGUAGGCU